UGGGGAAUAUUGCACAAUGGGCGCAAGCCUGAUGCAGCCAUGCCGCGUGUGUGAAGAAGGCCUUCGGGUUGUAAAGCACUUUCAGCGGGGAGGAAGGCGGUGAGGUUAAUAACCUCAUCGAUUGACGGUAUCCGCAGAAGAAGCACCGGCUAACUCCGUGCCAGCAGCCGCGGUAAUACGGAGGGUGCAAGCGUUAAUCGGAAUUACUGGGCGUAAAGCGCACGCAGGCGGUCUGUCAAGUCGGAUGUGAAAUCCCCGGGCUCAACCUGGGAACUGCAUUCGAAACUGGCAGGCUAGAGUCUUGUAGAGGGGGGUAGAAUUCCAGGUGUAGCGGUGAAAUGCGUAGAGAUCUGGAGGAAUACCGGUGGCGAAGGCGGCCCCCUGGACAAAGACUGACGCUCAGGUGCGAAAGCGUGGGGAGCAAACAGG
rnacentral:rRNA from 1 species